rnacentral:rRNA from 1 species
AACGGCGAGUGAAGCGGCAACAGCUCAAAUUUGAAAUCUGGCCCCUCGGGGCCCGAGUUGUAAUUUGUAGAGGAUGCUUCUGGCGAGGCGCCGCCUGAGUUCCCUGGAACGGGACGCCAUAGAGGGUGAGAGCCCCGUCUGGCUGGACGCCGAGCCUAUGUGAAGCUCCUUCGACGAGUCGAGUAGUUUGGGAAUGCUGCUCAAAACGGGAGGUAUAUGUCUUCUAAAGCUAAAUAUUGGCCAGAGACCGAUAGCGCACAAGUAGAGUGAUCGAAAGAUGAAAAGCACUUUGAAAAGAGGGUUAAACAGUACGUGAAAUUGUUGAAAGGGAAGCGCUUGCGACCAGACUCGGCCGCGGCGGAUCAUCCGGCGUUCUCGCCGGUGCACUCCGCCGCGGCCGGGCCAGCAUCGGUUCGCCCCGGGGGAGAAAGGCGUCGGGAAUGUGGCCCCUCCGGGGGUGUUAUAGCCCGGCGCGGAAUACCCU